AGAACCCUGUAUUUUAUACAUGGUUUCAAAAUAGGACCAACACCAUUAAACUAGGGAACCGGACUCUGGGCGUCUAGUGCAGGCCUUCAUAUCAGAAGGAGCGCGAAGCGUUCGGGAGGUGCCCACUGUAUCCGAGGCAGGUUCUAUAUUUGGGCCAUGGAAAUACAGGGUUUUU
rnacentral:other from 1 species